CAUAAUCAAACUAACUUCUUGAAAGCAGACGAUAUAUGGUAUGUUAAUGUGGUCGGAAUUGAGGAACACGAAUGUUCAGUAGUUGUUAAGAAGACAGAUUCAAAGAUGAAAGUAACCACCAAAGUUUGUUGUGAAGUUGUUUCCCUGCUUAUACUAUCUCUAACGUUACUCAGUGCCUGUUUAGCUGCCCCAUUAGACACAUAUUACCAAAACAGAUGAUUCCGAACUAAUAAAUCCACAGAGGUUGCAGCUUCUCAAAGAGCUUAAGGACAUGAUUGAAAUAGAAGAAAGAAAUAAACAAGAAGAAAUGGGUAAACCUUUUGUUCCCACAAAUGAUGCUACAGGACUAAUGCGCGUUAUGCCACAAAAGAGAUUUCGACUAUU